UACCUUUGUGGGUUUAUAAAAAAAUAAAAUCUGUUAUUUUUUCAUGUGGCCAAGAGAUGGCAGUAAGUGCUGAACAGUAUGCUUUAUCUUUUGAGAUACUUCACACCAUCAGAACAAAAGACUAUCCUUUGAAAUGCAAGUAUUUGCUUUGAAUAUUGACAUCAACAAAAAAAAGAAGUGGUUUCAGCUUGCAUCAGUAGUAUCAUCCACGCCUAGAGAAAUGAAAGACUGAUCAAUUUUGUUUGUUUUCAGAGACUGUCAUCAUAAAACGUUUUCAGGAUUGAUUGAUAAAUAGUGUCGAGAUUGCCAACAGAACUCAUAAUGAUGCAAGCUCACAGAAUUUACCAACUGGAGGAAACGCCAUUUACUCUAAAUACAAGCAAUACAGAAAACCAACCUAAUCCAGAAAAACAAAUGUUGCCUUUAGCAAAAAAGCCUUUACAACUUUCUCUGUCUAUUCUGAGAGGCUUCAGUCCAAUGACAUCAAAGGCAGGAUUAUGUAAGAAGAUAAAAACUUGAUUAAUGUCCAUGUUUGAAGUCAUGAAAGUCCUCCCCUCUCCAAGCCCUCCUUGAAGCACAAAAAGCCAAGGUCCAGGUGCAGGAGCAAUGCUACAGAAAGGCCAUGAGAUAUCACAAGGAAGAAGGAAGAUCUUUCUGGUGGCGGAGAGUGCUAAAAUGCUGGAAAUGCAC